UUCUAUAACCUGUUUACCAUGAAACAUGUUAUAAAAGGAUAAUUUAUCACAUAUUCUACCCAGUUGUUAUAAAAAUAUAAGUAUUUUGUAAUUUUAGGUUGUUGCUAAUCUGGUCUGGCAUGGUCUGUUUAGGGUACUUUGACAAAAUACUGUAGAGCAGACAACUUAUAGACAAAAUAAGUACUAAGCUCUUCCAGGCUUAUAGACAACAGGUCCUAAGCUCUUCCAGGCUUAUAGACAACAGGUACUAAGCUCUUCCAGGCUUAUAGACAACAGGUACUAAGCUCUUCCAGGCUUAUAGACAACAGGUACUAAGCUCUUCCAGGCUUAUAGACAACAGGUCCUAAGCUCUUCCAGGCUUAUAGACAACAGG